AGAUUUCUUUGUUGGAAAUUUCUCCUGAAAAGUCAACCUCAAAACUUACCUUUUGAAUACUUUCUUAAUUUUUAAAAACAUGUAUAUAUUCUUUGACUUCAUGAUGGGGAGGUUUAUUGUUUAUCAUUAUUCAGUUCCAAAAGGCUCAUAUAACCCACAUGAAAUUGUUUUGCAUUGUAUUUUUUAUCCCAUGGGACAAAAGGCCAAUCUACAGAAGCAAUACUUUCUUAUGAGUGCCACAUGGGUCCAUAAAAAGUCACUUUAAGUCCCUCAGGGUGACUCAGAUAAUAGCUCAUUAUGAGCUUUGCUUGUCAUUGUCACAUCCAUUUAAAGCCAAUCCCUCCUUUUUACUUUCCUCUACGCUCCCUACAUCCACAAUGUCCCUAUAACCGUGACCUAUUUAUCGUCAUGUCCCUAACACCAUGCUCUGAGCCCUUCUACUUUUGUCCUGCACUGCCCUAUUUGUUACCCAAUCAGGAACUUCAAAAUUUAACAUGCAAAAAAUAAGUUGGGUCACACAGUAAGAUUUUUAUCUUUAUUUUUUAUUUUUUUAUUUUUUCCGCAUUCUGAACACAUUAGUCUUACUUAGCUUCUGGUGAAUGAUUU
rnacentral:lncRNA from 1 species